GGUUUUGUAGUUGAAUUAACAACGUUAAAUUGCAAAUUUGAAAGUGUGCGGUAAAGUGGCUCCAGAACUU
rnacentral:tRNA from 1 species